rnacentral:ncRNA from 2 species
AAGAACAAACUGGGGUGCCAAGUGGCUGAGAAAUACCCAUAAACCUGAUCUGGAUAAUGCCAGCGGAGGGAGUUUGAUUUUUGUAUUA